GCGUGCGCGGCGAAGCGGGAGUGUCGCGGUUGGCUGUAAACCAGCUGUCUGCCUUCAGACACAGAGGGUUCAAAUCCCUCCGCACGCACGA
rnacentral:tRNA from 1 species